AACGAACGCUGGCGGCAGGCUUAACACAUGCAAGUCGAACGCCCGCAAGGGGAGUGGCAGACGGGUGAGUAACACGUGGGAACGUGCCCUUCGCUUCGGGAUAGCCUCGGGAAACUGGGAGUAAUACCGAAUACGCCGUAUUGGGAAAGAUUUAUCGGCGAAGGAUCGGCCCGCGUUGGAUUAGCUAGUUGGCGGUGUAAUGGACCACCAAGGCUACGAUCCAUAGCUGGUCUGAGAGGACGACCAGCCACACUGGGACUGAGACACGGCCCAGACUCCUACGGGAGGCAGCAGUGGGGAAUCUUGGACAAUGGGCGCAAGCCUGAUCCAGCCAUGCCGCGUGAGUGAAGAAGGCCUUAGGGUUGUAAAACUCUUUCGCCGGUGAAGAUAAUGACGGUAACCGGAGAAGAAGCCCCGGCUAACUUCGUGCCAGCAGCCGCGGUAAU
rnacentral:rRNA from 1 species